rnacentral:lncRNA from 1 species
GGAGACUUGUUGAUGCAUGGUAAAAGCCGAACCCAGUCUACGUAAUAAGGGCGGAACACAUGGACCUUUCUGAUACCUAGGACUGAUCAUGGACUAACAAUAUCGACCAUUCCUUUACCAAAUGCAGAGCACAAAUAUGUAUCAACUCAAGGACUAACCCGAGUGGUCACUUCUGCCUCUCAAUCAUAUAAAGCUCGGUGAUUAACCCAAACUGUCACUCCUGCCUCCUAAGGGCUGUGUUUUCAUCGAUUACCCCCGACAGGCGAGCUGAUUAUCAUAUUAGCUCGGGAACUGACCAGAGCACUCAUACAAAGAGUAGACGGCUAUGAAGGAGCCACGCCGGUGACAAGACCUCUCCUAACAGAAGAACAAUACGCCACCUCCAGAACCACCGCUUCUGUCACCUCUGAUCCCACGUGUAAAUUUGCAAUUCGGCCCCAGACAAGAUGUGACUGAGGACAUGAUACUUUG